UGCUGCUAUUUGGGAUUCGACUAAGCCAUUGCAAAGUCUCAGGCGUCCGGCAAGGAACCGGCCAGAAUUGCUCAGUAACAUCGUUCGUACAACUCUGCCCUAUGCUCUUGGGAUAACCUUGGGAAAGCUGAGGAUAAUACCGGAUAGAGGUUGAUAUUCUGCUAAUGAUAUCUUCCUUGAAAUCGAUUAUCGGUCAUAGGAUUGGGUCGUGCGGCCGAUUAGGCGUGUUUGGCGGGGUUAACGGCCCACCAAUACCGAAGAUCGUGUUACGGUGCCAUGAGAGUGGGUAGCCCUGGAGAGGGACCCUUGAGAUACUGGUCCUAGUACCCUACGUGGGUGCAGUCAGUGCGCGUAAACCUUUUACAAUUGCUACGAAAGUUGUGAUAAUGGGGAUCCGCAAGUUGCUCAUGCUUUGCAUGGGGUCUUUUGGCCAAGAGCAAGAAACCUUGUGCGAAUAGUAGUUGGUGGUGUAAGAGCUGGUGUCCAGACCGCCGUCGGUGAACACCUAGCGCCAUCGAGUUGGGAACUCAAUUUUUAUUUGGGCCUAGAAGCGUUCCGUUAGACCUGGCCGAGGUAAAAUCUCUUGUGAACAUCGUUGCGCUUUAACGUAACGACGUGGCAGUCAGAGAAACUGCUUUGGC
rnacentral:rRNA from 1 species